rnacentral:lncRNA from 1 species
CGCCGCGCGGCGCCCGGCCCGGGGCACCGGCGGUCCCGUCCUGCCUGACACGGCUUAGUCCCUCUAAUCGGCUCCGAGGCUGAUUGCGGCGAAGCAUCCAAACCAAGGGAAAGUUAGUUUGUUGUAAUUACGAGAGAAAUAACCCAUCUGGGCUUCCGUUUUUCACUCUCCCUUGCCCCAGCGUGCCGCUGGUGAGGGUGACAGUGUGGCAGGAGGAGGCGCAGCAGCGCUGGGAACUUGCUGCUUUCACCUUCCUGUGCUUUCAUUUUAUUUCAUUUUGUUUUUAAAAGCAUGAAGCAAGUGAAGCGACAAGAGGAAUCCAUUAUGCAAAUCAGGUCACAUUUGCAUAAUGUCUCAUGACUGGAAUAUGCAAAUGAGUUGUAUAAUUUAUGAGUGCCAGUGUCUGUCUAAAAGUGUUUCCCAGAAUUUAUAAAAACUGCAGCAUGGAGAGGCAGCUGCUGGCUGCCCUGCCAGGAGGGUCCACACUCGCUUUGCAAAGUCCGCUUGAGUCUGGGAGUGCAAACGUCUGGGAAUGAGAACGGAGCCCCCCUUCCCACCCUGUCCUCUUGCUUUAUUUAUUUCUCAUUACUCCCUCCACCAAGCUCCCCACCUGCUCCCCUUGAACUUCUCUGAGGAUGCAGGGCUUGGGCCAGGGCACCGGGCUGGAUGGCUGGGCGGCUGGGCAGUCCCACAGGUGGCUCAGUCUGGGCUUGCUCGUGUCCCUUGGGGCUGUCACCAGACGCAGAGCCCUGCACUCUUCAGGUAAGUGAGCUCAUAGGCACGAUGUGCCCUGAGGAGCCGCUUGGAGCCCCUCACGACUCCCACAGUGGGAUUCCUGCUGGUUUGCUCUGCGCCAGGUCCAGUCCCUGCGCGGCUUUGAGCCCCAUGACCCUGGGGAGAGCUGCAGGGCUGUCACUGCCCACGGAGGGACCCCGAGUGUCCUGUCCAACGCCACAGCGUUUGGUGCCAGCACUGGAAAGGUCUCUGGAAUAUCCGGACAUUCAGGACAGGUGCCAGGCGAGGACGGCUUCACAGGAGCACUCAUCCUGGCCAAGGCUGGGAGGAGAGCCACAGCCAUCAGAGAGAACUGGGUUACAGCAGACAUUACAUCCUCGGGGGCUCGCCUGCCUUGUGCGAGUGUGGUGCCAAUGCCCCUGCAGUGCCACAGGGCUGGCUGUGGCUUCCUUCAGCUGGAUGCUCAAGAGCAGAGGAUCUAUCAACUGCAGACCAAGCGGAGGGAGAGGCAGGCAGACCUGGAGCAGAAAUGAAGCCAGAGAAGCAGCUCAGCCAGGACCUGGGGGCCAGCCACCAGCUACGGAAAGGAGCUUGGAGCAGCUUGUUCCAGGAGAAGACAGUGCAAUUUGGUGA